GCGCCCAUGGUGGAAUGGUAGACACACUGGACUGAGACUCCAGGCUCGAAUGAGCGUCCGGGUUCGACUCCCGGUGGGCGUAC
rnacentral:tRNA from 2 species